AAUGAACGCUGGCGGCAGGCUUAACACAUGCAAGUCGAGCGAGCGGCGGACGGGUGAGUAAUGUCUGGGAAACUGACUGAUGGAGGGGGAUAACUAAUGGAAACGGUAGCUAAUACCGCAUACCAUCAGCUGUGCCCAGAUGGGAUUAGCGAGUAGGUGGGUGAAUGGCUCACCUAGGCGACGAUCCCUAGCUGGCCUGAGAGGAUGACCGGCCAACUGGGAACUGAGACAAGGCCCAGACUCCUACGGGAGGCAGCAGGGGGGAAUAUUGCAAAAUGGGCGAAAGCCUGAUGCAGCCAGGCCGCGGGUGGGAAGAAGGCCUUCGGGUUGUAAACCACUUUCAGCGAGGAGGCGUUACUCGCAGAGGAAGCACCGGCUAACUCCGUGCCAGCAGCCGCGGUAAUAC
rnacentral:rRNA from 1 species